GAUGAAGAACGCAGCGAAAUGCGAUAAGUAGUGUGAAUUGCAGAAUUCAGUGAAUCAUCGAAUCUUUGAACGCACAUUGCGCCCCUUGGUAUUCCAUGGGGCAUGCCUGUUCGAGCGUCAUUUGUACCUUCAAGCUUUGCUUGGUGUUGGGUGUUUGUCCCUCGGGACUCGCCUUAAAGUCAUUGGCAGCCAGUGGUUUGGUUUUGAAGCGCAGCACAAGUCGCGAUUCAAGGCUAUCCGCCCGCUUCCACAAGCCUUUUUCACUUUUGACCUCGGAUCAGGUAGGGAUACCCGCUGAACUUAAGCAUAUCAAUAAGCGGAGGA
rnacentral:misc_RNA from 1 species